CAGAAUUCCAGGGAGAUUAUACGGGGGAAGAAAGAACAAGAGAGACCUGAGCCGGCCCUGAGAGGUCAAGGCCGGCACCCCAGCAUGAAUGAAAAUAAGCCUCCUUGUAACCUCUCCCCGCAUGGCUUUCCCUCUGGGACCGCGGAGCGGGCAUGUCCAGCCUUCCACAUGGAGCCUGCGGUUCUUUCACCAGUCCCUGCAGGCCUCAACCUCCAGAGCCCUCACCAUCCUAGUCACUUACAUCUAUUCUUUUUGCCCUAGUAGGGUGGGCAAACUACAGCUCAAGGGCCAGAUCUGGCCCGCCACCUGUUUAUGUAAAUAAAGUUUUAUUGGAACACA